rnacentral:rRNA from 1 species
CCCGGGCCUUGUACACACCGCCCGUCACACCACGAAAGCGAGCAACACCCGAAGCCGGUGACCCAACCUCUUUGAGGAGGGAGCCGUCGAAGGUGGGGGCCCGUGAUUGGGGUG